GGAAGGUAGUUCUUUACAGAAUUUUGGCAAGAAAUUGAGAUUUUGAUAUUAGUUCUAGAAGUCCUGAAUUUGAAAUCAUUAUGGAAUGUCCAGGUGUGAAUAUUCUGUAGGUCAUUUGUUAUUUGAGACCAGAGUUAAGAAAAGAGCUUGGGACCAGAGACAUGAAGAUUUCUGAGUUUUAGGCAUGAAAUUUGUAGGAAAAGUCUUGAUAUAGAUGACAUCUUUCAAAUAGACUGUGCAGACUAUUUAAAAAGUAAAAGGACCCAUUAAAGAAAAAUGAAAAGUGUCAUCAUACAUUACAUGGUCAGAUGAAGAGGAAUUUAGAGAAGAGACUAACAAGGAGAAGACACAGGAAGAUAGAAAGAAAACCAGGAAGGAGUCGUAACACAAAAACCAGAUGUAGAAAGGAUUCAAGUGGGGAAAGAGUAAUCAAUAGCACCAAAUGUCUUAAAGUGUUUCAGAAAUAAAAAACUAAGCAUUGGCUGUUGGACUUGCUUGUUGGGCUUCUGUAUGAAUAGUGGACUGUGUUUGGCUACACAUAAAAGGAAACUGUUGCCCAUGUAACAAAGACCAGAAACAGGAAGUUCCAGAAGUCCUUCAGGGUCUUCACAAACUCAUCAAUGUCCGAGGCUUCCUCAAUUUUUUUCUCUGCAUAUAGUUUUUAAUCUUUAUGGUCAUAUUAUGCUCACAAGAUGGCUGCUCCAUCUCCAGCUUCACAUUUACGUUCAACUGGAAAGAAGAAGGAAAAAUAACAAGCAAGAAAGUGCAGCACUUUUUUUGUCAGGAAAAUACAUCUUUCUCAGAAAACCUUUGUCGACUGCCAAUUACAGCUCCUAAACUCUGCUACACUUGCUGACUUUCUAAGAGAAGCCAAAAGGAAUGCCACUUCCCCGAGGCCUGCCCUGACCUUUGCCACCACAUAAUGAAGUUGGAGCUCAUGUAUUGUACACUGUUCACUUGCCAUUAAUUAUGCAGUGGCAUGUGCAAAUCUCUUGUAGUCUUUUAACUCUUUCAAUAGUUUUAACUCUGUCUCUGCUUGUGAAUUCAGCUAAAUUUUAAUUUCCUUGAGAGAAAUGGUGUUGGAUCACAAAUUACUAUAGCCAUGAAACAAGGUUGUUAUUUCUUUUUAAUAACUAUUAUGUCUGAAUGCAGUGAAAUACAAUCACAUUGGCUUGACUUAUUUUCAUUUGCCUUUUAGAGCCAGAAAAGGGCUGGCAAUUUUCUUGUUGGACCUCAAAUGCACUCAUACAGUCUGAGUUGUCAAUGACUUCUUUCUCCUUCUCCCACAAGAUUUCGGCCACCUAUGGGUAUCUUCCUGAAUCCCUCCUCAGCUCCUUUCAUUCUCUUCCACCCUCUAUUUUGCCCCAAAAGAAAGAAACUAAUUUCGACAAAUAUAUUAAUUAAGUGGUCAUCUUUUCUAGGUAAUAUAGUGACUUAGCCAACCAAUCAUAGAAGUAAUGAUAAGGGUUUUAGAAAGAUGCUCUUCUACUGGGACACUCUUUUUUUUCUUUUUGCUUUUUCUCCCCAAAUCCCCCCAGUAGAUAAUUGUAUAUAUUUUUAAUUGUGGGUCCUUCUAGUUGUGGCAUGUGGGACACCACCUCAACGUAGCCUGGCGAGCGGUGCC
rnacentral:lncRNA from 1 species